rnacentral:tRNA from 1 species
AGUAAAGUAAGCUAAAAUUAAGCUAAUGGGUUCAUACCCCAUUUAUAGAGUAACUCUCUUUUCUA